UAAAUGUUUCAUGAUAAUGUGUUAGGUAAAUGUUUCAUGAUAAUGGGUUAGUAAAUGUUUCAUGAUAAUGUGUUAGGUAAAUGUUUCAUGAUAAGAAUUUCAUGUCUUUUGUAUUAAAGAAUUAAAUGGAUGAAAUAUGAAGUUUUAUUAAAAGAAAAAGGGGUGAAAAGAACAAAGUUUUGUCCAUCUUUGUUCAUCAUAGCUGAAAGUUAGAGAAGAGAAAGGAGAGGAGAAAGCUCUUGAGUAUUUGGUCAUUAGGAGGAGGAAAAUUGAAGGAAGUUCGUGUGUGGAUCUCGUCAGCAUAUCGUCGCAAACAGGAAAUCCCCAACCAUAGUGGGCUUGGAGUCGUGAGGGAAUUCGGAGUGGCCAC